GUCUACGGCCAUACUACCUUGAAAACACCGGUUCUCGUCCGAUCACCGAAGUUAAGCAACGUCGGGCCUGGUUAGUACUUGGAUGGGAGACCGCUUGGGAAUACCGGGUGCUGUAAACA
rnacentral:rRNA from 1 species